AAGAACCCACCAGGGAUUGCCCCAGUAACGGCGAGUGAAGCGGCAACAGCUCAAAUUUGAAAUCUGGUCCCCAGGGCCCGAGUUGUAAUUUGCAGAGGAUGCUUUUGGUGAGGUGCCUUCCGAGUUCCCUGGAACGGGACGCCAUAGAGGGUGAGAGCCCCGUCUGGUUGGAUACCGAGCCUCUGUAAAGCUCCUUCGACGAGUCGAGUAGUUUGGGAAUGCUGCUCUAAAUGGGAGGUAUAUGUCUUCUAAAGCUAAAUAUUGGCCAGAGACCGAUAGCGCACAAGUAGAGUGAUCGAAAGAUGAAAAGCACUUUGAAAAGAGGGUUAAAUAGUACGUGAAAUUGUUGAAAGGGAAGCACUUAUGACCAGACUUGGCCCCGGUGAAUCAUCCAGCGGUUCCCGCUGGUGCACUUUGCCGGGGUUCAGGCCAGCAUCAGUUCGCUCCGGGGGAUAAAGGCUUUGGGAAUGUGGCUCCCUCGGGAGUGUUAUAGCCCAUUGCGUAAUACCCUGUGGCGGGCUGAGGUUCGCGCUUUAUGCAAGGAUGCUGGCAUAAUGGUCAUCAGUGACCCGUCUUGAAACACGGACCAAGGAGUCGUCUUCGUAUGCGAGUGUUCGGGUGUUAAACCCCUACGCGUAAUGAAAGUGAACGCAGGUGAGAGCCCUCCAGGGCGCAUCAUCGACCGAUCCUGAUGUUCUCGGAUGGAUUUGAGUAAGAGCAUACGGGGCCGGACCCGAAAGAAGGUGAACUAUGCCUGUAUAGGGUGAAGCCAGAGGAAACUCUGGUGGAGGCUCGCAGCGGUUCUGACGUGCAAAUCGAUCGUCAAAUAUGGGCAUGGGGGCGAAAGACUAAUCGAA
rnacentral:rRNA from 1 species